AUCCAGCUGACGAGUCCCAAACAGGACGAA
rfam:Trichobilharzia regenti genome assembly, scaffold: TRE_scaffold0024636